AUUAGGAAUCUUGCGCAAUGGGCGAAAGCCUGACGCAGCGACGUCGCGUGGGGGAGGAAGGCUUUCGGGUUGUAAACCCCUUUUGUCGAGGAAGAAACAAAUGACGGUACUCGACGAAUAAGCCCCGGCUAACUCCGUGCCAGCAGCCGCGGUAAUACGGAGGGGGCUAGCGUUGUCCGAAGUUACUGGGCGUAAAGCGCGCGUAGGCGGGUUGGUAAGUCCGCUGUGAAAGCCCGGAGCUUAACUCCGGAGGGUCGGUGGAUACUGCCAGUCUUGAAGGUGCUAGGGGGAGAUGGAAUUACCGGUGUAGCGGUGAAAUGCGUAGAUAUCGGUAGGAACACCAGUGGCGAAGGCGGUCUCCUGGGGCAUUCUUGACGCUGAGGCGCGAAAGCUGGGGGAGCAAACG
rnacentral:rRNA from 1 species